AUUAGGGUAGUUUAUUAAAAUAUUACUUUGUGGAGGUAGAGAUGUGCGAUGCCCCUGGUA
rnacentral:tRNA from 1 species